UACGUAGGGGGCAAGCGUUGUCCGGAAUCAUUGGGCGUAAAGAGCGUGUAGGCGGCCAGAUAAGUCCGCUGUGAAAUCUCGAGGCUCAACUUCGAGCUGUCGGUGGAAACUGUCUGGCUAGAGUCCGGAAGAGGAGAAUGGAAUUCCAGGUGUAGCGGUGAAAUGCGUAGAUAUCUGGAGGAAUACCGGUGGCGAAGGCGGCAUCCUGGACCGAGAUUGACGCUGAUGAGCGAAAGCUAGGGGAGCAAACGGG
rnacentral:rRNA from 1 species